rnacentral:rRNA from 1 species
UACGAAGGGGGCUAGCGUUGUUCGGAAUCACUGGGCGUAAAGGGCGCGUAGGCGGCUUUAUAAGUCGGGGGUGAAAGCCUGUGGCUCAACCACAGAAUUGCCUUCGAUACUGUAGAGCUCGAGACCGGAAGAGGUAAGUGGAACUGCGAGUGUAGAGGUGAAGUUCGUAGAUAUUCGCAAGAACACCAGUGGCGAAGGCGGCUUACUGGUCCGGUUCUGACGCUGAGGCGCGAAAGCGUGGGGAGCAAACAGG